CAGCCGCCGCGGUAAUACGUAGGGUGCAAGCGUUAAUCGGAAUUACUGGGCGUAAAGCGUGCGCAGGCGGUUCGGAAAGAAAGAUGUGAAAUCCCAGAGCUUAACUUUGGAACUGCAUUUUUAACUACCGGGCUAGAGUGUGUCAGAGGGAGGUGGAAUUCCGCGUGUAGCAGUGAAAUGCGUAGAUAUGCGGAGGAACACCGAUGGCGACGGCAGCCUCCUGGGAUAACACUGACGCUCAUGCACGAAAGCGUGGGGAGCAAACAGGAUUAGAUACCCUGGUAGUCCACGCCCUAAACGAUGUCAACUAGCUGUUGGGGCCUUCGGGCCUUGGUAGCGCAGCUAACGCGUGAAGUUGACCGCCUGGGGAGUACGGUCGCAAGAUUAAAACUUAAAGGAAUUGGCGGG
rnacentral:rRNA from 1 species